CAAAAAAUGCGCUAUUUACCGACGGAAUUACCGACAUACACAAAUCCGUCUGUGAUUACCGCCGGAAUACCGAGGGAACAGUUCCGUCGUGCCGUCGCCGAGCUGCAGCCUACGCCGUCGCCGAGCUACAGCCUGCGCCGUCGACGAGCUACAGCCAUCGCCGUCGCUGACCUACAGCCACCGCCGUCUCCUCCCCUCAAAUCGGCGGCAUUCUGUUUUCUCGACUCCACCCUUGUCCACAGCUCUAACCUCCAAUUUUUGAAGAAUUAAGGUUGGAUUUGGGGGAAUUGGUUGAGUUUUUCUUAAAUUGGAUUUGCUAGGGUUCAUUUGAGCGCUCUCUUCCACCACUCUUUUACUUCACAUUUUCACAGAGAUGUUAAUGCUUUGGUCUAACUAAUUUUUCACAGGUGAUCUCUUUCAUGGUGAUGAGGUAUUCUAAAAGGUUCUCACAAGCUUGUGGACAAAAUCCUUUACAGCUAUGGCACCUAAAUCUUUUAUUUUUAUCAGUUUUAUCUGUUAAGAGUACUGAAAUGAAAAACCACAGGUCUUUAGGUCAUAUAAAGAGAGGAGAAAAUGCAAGAACUACAUACAUACAAUAAUAAAACCCGGUGGUAAUUUGCAGACAUAAUUAUGACAACGAUGAGUUAUGUAGCUUUCAUUAGUCAUUUCGUUAAUGUGAGGAUAACAGCUAAUUCAUUCUGCUUUCUUUUCUGAUCGAUUUUUUUAUAACAGCACCAUGUUUGUGAAUUUCAUUCAUCCUAGAUGGAAUUAAGUCAGUAUACGUGCAACAAAUCAAUGUUAUUUCACAAACUAAGUAUAAAUAGGGCAUGUGUACUGAUUAAUCACCA